AUUGAACGCUGGCGGCAGGCCUAACACAUGCAAGUCGAGCGGUAGAGAGGAGCUUGCUUCUCUUGAGAGCGGCGGACGGGUGAGUAAUGCCUAGGAAUCUGCCUGGUAGUGGGGGAUAACGUUCGGAAACGGACGCUAAUACCGCAUACGUCCUACGGGAGAAAGUGGGGGAUCUUCGGACCUCACGCUAUCAGAUGAGCCCAGGUCGGAUUAGCUAGUUGGUGAGGUAAAGGCUCACCAAGGCGACGAUCCGUAACUGGUCUGAGAGGAUGAUCAGCCACACUGGAACUGAGACACGGUCCAGACUCCUACGGGAUGAAGCAGUGGGGAAUAUUGGACAAUGGGCGCAAGCCUGAUCCAGCCAUGCCGCGUGUGUGAAGAAGGUCUUCGGAUUGUAAAGCACUUUAAGUUGGGAGGAAGGUCAGUAGCUUAAUACGUUGCUGAUUUGACGUUACCGACAGAAUAAGCACCGGCUAACUCUGUGCCAGCCGCCGCGGUAACAC
rnacentral:rRNA from 1 species